rnacentral:rRNA from 1 species
GAAUAUUGGACAAUGGGGGGAACCCUGAUCCAGCCAUGCCGCGUGUGUGAAGAAGGCCUUUUGGUUGUAAAGCACUUUAAGCGAGGAGGAGGAGCUCUUGGUUAAUACCCAAGAUGCUUGGACGUUACUCGCAGAAUAAGCACCGGCUAACCCUGUGCCAGCAGCAGCGGUAAUACAGAGGGUGCAAGCGUUAAUCGGAUUUACUGGGCGUAAAUCCCGCGUAGGUGGCCAAUUAAGUCAAAUGUGAAAUCCCCUAGCUUAACUUUGGAAUUGCAUUCGAUACUGGUUGGCUAGAGUAUUGGAGAUGAUGGUAAUAUUCCAGGUUUAGCGGUGAAAUUCGUAGAGAUCUGGAAGAAUACCGAUGGCGAAGGCAGCCAUCUUGCCUAAUACUGACACCUAGGUGCGAAAGCAUGGGGAGCAAACA